rnacentral:rRNA from 1 species
GGAUUAGAUACCCUGGUAGUCCACGCUGUAAACGAUGAUCACUAGGUGUUCGGAUUUCGGUCUGAGUGCCCAAGCGAAAGCGAUAAGUGAUCCACCUGGGGAGUACGUUGGCAACAAUGAAACUCAAAGGAAUUGACGGGGGCCCGCACAAGCGGUGGAGCAUGUGGUUUAAUUCGAUGAUACGCGAGGAACCUUACCUGGGCUAUAAUGCCUCUGACAGUUCGUGAAAGCGGAUUUUCCUACGGGACAGAGUGCAAGGUGCUGCAUGGUUGUCGUCAGCUCGUGUUG